rnacentral:lncRNA from 1 species
GGCCACCCCCGGGCGGCUUGUAGCCGGUGCGCGGGGUGGCUGGGGCUACGUGCAGAGCUGUCGCGGAGCCGGAACAGCAGCGGUGAAGCCCCUCGGCUCGGCCGAGACCGCCGUGCCCACUGCUCGCCUCGGUUGCCGCCGCUUUAGCCGCAGCCGCUGCUGCCGCCGCCGGGGGAGAGGCAGCCUAUUGUCUUUCUCCGCGGCGAAGGUGAGGAGCUGUCUCGGCUCGGCCCGCGGGGGAGCCCCGGGAGCCGCACGGAGAUGGAGGAGGACAUCUGGACAGUGAGCAGGAGGCGCUUCGGCCCAUGCCGAACAUCCCAGGGGACCUGGAGAGCCGGGAGGCCAUGGUGGCAUUUUUCAACUCCGCUGGAGCCAAUGCCCAGGAGGAACAAAGGGUGUGCUGCCAGCCCCUGGCUCACCCAGUGGCCUCGUCCCAGAAAAAGCCAGAGGAAAGUACAUCAGCCAGGGGGCAGUGUCAGAGACGCAGCACUGGGAGAGGAGGACAUCGUCAGGCUGGCCCAGGACCAGGAGGAGAUGAAGGUGAACCUGCAGGAGCUGCGGGGCAGGUGUUGCAGCUUGUGGGAGACCACAAGGAGGGGCAUGGCAAAUUCUGACCAUUGCCCAGAACCCUGCUGAUGAGCCCACUCUAGGAGCCCCAAUAGCCCAGGAGCUUGGGUGUGCUGACGAGCAGGGUGAUCACCACUGGAUUGCUGACAGAUAGAGGACGUGGGACCGUGACUAUCACCCCUAAUCUGCAGUGGAUUUGGCUCUCGGCACUCCCAGGCUGGGAGCUGGAUACCUGCCCUGGCAGCAUGACUCAGACUGCAUGACAGUCACAGACUCGCCUCUGCUCCUGUGGUCCAGUGGCCGGACACCCCCUGGGAUGGCUCAAAGGAGUCAGGACUUGGAAGUGGGGACAUCAGGGUAGCUGAAGGAAAUCCACACACCCAGAGCAUCUCGGAGUUCAGACUCUCAGACCUGAAGUAGGCGCCCCCGGGACUGGGCUAGGAGUUGGACGGAAUGGAGGAUGGAGGACAGCGAGAAGAAAGGAAGAGAAAUGCAAAGUGUGGGCAGCCGCCAAGAGUGAAAAUAGAGGGAAGUGUCAUGCAAGUGCUGGACAGAAGGCGGCAGGUGGGACGAGCCCCACAGCCCCCUCCUCAAAAACGACCACCUCCAGGACUCAGUGAUCCCUGGGGGGCAGGCUCUGCCAGCCCUCGGCCACACGUGGCUCCGGCACCCAUGGUCCCAGUGCCUUGGAUGGAGACGGCCAGUUCUGGCGGCCAGAUGUGGUGCUCUGGAAUCCAGUCCCAUUUCCUUCCUGGCCACGCCUGUCCAGCGGCCUCUUCAGCCGCAUUCAGCCCCUACUUACCUGGGGACCCCGGCUGGGGCACGAGAGCACCAGGGGGGUAGGGCCCAAAGGGAUCAGGGGAAGCCUCUGGCCUGGAGGGUAUGGGGCACGCUUCCCCAAGGGCGGACCCGGCAGGAGGAAGCCCAGGAGCUGGGUCCUGCCGCCCAGGAGCUGGGCCCUGCCACCCAGGCCGGGCUAGGGACAUGGCAGGGCCUGGGCAUCCUGACGCUGGACUUGGGCGACCUGGGAGGCACAGGGAGGGGAGAGAUGGGCGACCCCGCCCCAGCGCAGUGCCGGCCACACCCCAAGGCAGUUGCCAGAGCUUAAGCCCCGCCCCCAGCAGCGAGAACAUCCCAGCUCCACACCCCCCCCCCCCCCGCAGCCAGUGCUCCUUGUCAAGCUCCCCCCGUCACUCCAGGUGGGAGCCACCCCGGUGAGGGGGUGUGCCACUUGCCCCCAGGGCACUCCUCUGGGCAUCCCGGGUGGGGGAUUUUGGGGCCGUGGGGGGCAGUCUUUGGUACCUGUGUUCGUCAGGGAUGCUCUGACAACCAGGUGUCGUCCACGGGCGGGGGCAUGGGCAUGGUGACAGUGGUCCUGUUGAUGUCACCGAUGAUGCUGAGCGCCUCCUUCAGCGCGUGGUGCAUGUGCAGCAUCUCGUCGUGCUGCUGUGCCUGCUCUGCCAACUCCUCCAUCAGUGUGUUCUGGUUCCCACAUGAGUACAUAUUGGCCAGCAGCUCCGAGAUGAUGAACUCCGGGGUCUGAGAGUGGGCAAACAGGGAAGAAGGUUGGGACCUGGUGCCUGUGCCGCCCUGGCUGCCUUGCUGGGCCCUUCUGGGACUGUGCGCUGGACUUGGAGCCCCUUGGAGUAUGGCUUUUCACACGGGCUUCUAUACCGCUUCGACUGGAAGAUCCACCUCCCCACUGCCUUUUCUCACUCAGAUGGGGACACCGAGGUCCAGAGGAAAAGACACCUGUCAAAUGUCACAGAUCUGGGAGGGGACUUAAGACUUAUCAUGCCAAGAGG